GACGAACGCUGGCGGCGUGCUUAACACAUGCAAGUCGAGCGGUAAGGCCCUUUCGGGGGUACGACGAGCGGCGAACGGGUGAGUAACACGUGGGUGACCUGCCCUCAGCUCUGGGAUAAGCCUGGGAAACCGGGUCUAAUACUGGAUAUGACUCCAUGACGCAUGUUGUGGGGUGGAAAGCCUUGUGCGGCUGAGGAUGGGCCCGCGGCCUAUCAGCUUGUUGGUGGGGUGAUGGCCUACCAAGGUGACGACGGGUAGCCGGCCUGAGAGGGCGACCGGCCACACUGGGACUGAGACACGGCCCAGACUCCUACGGGAGGCUGCAGUCGAGAAUAUUCCACAAUGGGGGAAACCCUGAUGGAGCGACACCGCGUGGGGAUGAA
rnacentral:rRNA from 1 species